rnacentral:rRNA from 1 species
UAGGGAAUCUUCGGCAAUGGGGGCAACCCUGACCGAGCAACGCCGCGUGAGUGAAGAAGGUUUUCGGAUCGUAAAGCUCUGUUGUAAGAGAAGAACGUGUGUGAGAGUGGAAAGUUCACACAGUGACGGUAACUUACCAGAAAGGGACGGCUAAYUACGUGCCAGCAGCCGCGGUAAUACGUAGGUCCCGAGCGUUGUCCGGAUUUAUUGGGCGUAAAGCGAGCGCAGGCGGUUUAAUAAGUCUGAAGUUAAAGGCAGUGGCUUAACCAUUGUUCGCUUUGGAAACUGUUAGACUUGAGUGCAGAAGGGGAGAGUGGAAUUCCAUGUGUAGCGGUGAAAUGCGUAGAUAUAUGGAGGAACACCCGGUGGCGAAAGCGGCUCUCUGGU